CACCAGUGGCGAAGGCGGCUGUCUGGUCUGUACUGACGCUGAGGCUCGAAAGUAUGGGUAGCAAACAGGAUUAGAUACCUGGUAGUCCAUACCGUAAACGAUGAAUGCUAAGUGUUGGAGGGUUUCCCCUUUCAGUGCUGCAGCUAACGCAUUAAGCAUUCCGCUGGGGAGUACGGCCACAAGGCUGAAACUCAAAGGAAUUGACGGGGGCCCGCACAAGCGGUGGAGCAUGUGGUUUAAUUCGAAGCUACGCGAAGAACCUUACCAGGUCUUGACAUACUAUGCAAAUCUAAGAGAUUAGACGUUCCCUUCGGGGACAUGGAUACAGGUGGUGCAUGGUUGUCGUCAGCUCGUGUCGUGAGAUGUUGGGUUAAGUCCCGCAACGAGCGCAACCCUUAUUAUCAGUUGCCAGCAUUAAGUUGGGCACUCUGGUGAGACUGCCGGUGACAAACCGGAGGAAGGUGGGGAUGACGUCAAAUCAUCAUGCCCCUUAUGACCUGGGCUACACACGUGCUACAAUGGAUGGUACAACGAGUUGCGAACUCGCGAGAGUAAGCUAAUCUCUUAAAGCCAUUCUCAGUUCGGAUUGUAGGCUGCAACUCGCCUACAUGAAGUCGGAAUCGCUAGUAAUCGCGGAUCAGCAUGCCGCGGUGAAUACGUUCCCGGGCCUUGUACACACCGCCCGUCACACCAUGAGAGUUUGUAACACCCAAAGUCGGUGGGGUAACCUUUAGGAACCAGCCGCCUAAGGUGGGACAGAUGAUUAGGGUGAAGUCGUAACAAGGUAACCA
rnacentral:rRNA from 1 species